AGCCGUUUGGUUCCAGGUAGGGUUUGCCCUUUCUCAAGGCUUCUCCCAAUUCAGCAAUUCUCAUUAUUUUGGUCACAGAAUUGCCCAUGAAGGCAAAGAUUUUUGUAUUUUUAAAACUCAUGGUUAUUCCCAGUACUUAGAGCCUGGUGUAUAUACUGGUGUAGAUAUAAUUCAGUAAAUUUAAGCACCUAUGAUGUACUGUGGAGGGUCUGGUGAUGAUUAGGAUUGCUCCCCACCUUUAAAGAGCUUACACACACAAGUGGGAGACUGUAAUCAAACCCCAAAUCAAGGCAAAAUGAAACCAGUGCAAUUAUUGAGAAACAUAUUGCUUUUGUGUUUUUUAAUAAAAAAUAUUUCAACUUUUCAUUUAGAAACAGUGGGUAAAUGUGCAAGUUUGUUACAAGGGUAUAUUGUGUGAUGCUGAGGUUUGAGGUACAGAUCCCAUCACCCAGGUAGUGAGCAUAGUACCCAAUAGGUAGUUUUUCAACCUAUCCUUCUGCCCUCCUCACCCACAGUGUUCCAGUCUGCAGUGUCUGUUGUUCCCACCUUUGCAUCCUGAGGUACUCAAUAUUUAGCUCCCAUUUGUUAGAACAUGCAGUACUUGGUUUUCUGUUCUUAAUUUGCUUAGAUUAUGGCUUCCAGCUGUAUCCAUGUGGCUGGCUGCAAAGGACAUGAUUUUGUUCUUUUUAUGGCUGCCUAAUACUCCAUGAUUUAUAUGUACCACAUUUUCUUUAUCCAGUCCACUGUUGAUGGGCAGCCACGUUGAUCUGUCUUUGCUACUGUGAAUAGCACUGUGAUGACCAUAUGUGUUUUUGGUAGAAGGAUUUAUUUCCUUUUGGGAAAUAAACCCAUAUGCUGGGUUGAAUGGUAGAUCUGUUUUAAGUUAUUUGAGAAAUCUCCAAACUGCUUUCCACAGUGACUGAACUAAUUUACAUUCCCACAACAGUGUAUAAAUGUUCUCUUUUCUCUGAAACCUUACUGGCAUGUUAUUAGACUUCUUUACAAUAGCCAUUCUAACUGGUGUGAGAUGGUAUCUUAUUGUGGUUUUGAUUUGCAUUUCUCUGAUGAUUAGUGAUGAGCAUUUUUUCACGUUUGUUGAUUGCUUGUAUGUCUUCUUUUGAGAAGUGUCUGUUCAUGUCCUUCACCCAUUUUUUAAUGGGGUUGUUUUUUGCUUGUUAAGUUCCUUAUUGAUUCUGGAUGUCAGAUCUUUGUUGGAUGUCUAGUUUGCAAAUAUUUUCUCCAAUUCUGUAUGUUGUCUGUUUACUCUGUUGAUAGUGUCUUUUGCUGUGCAGAGUGCUUUAAUUAGGUCCCCACUUGCCAAUUUCUGUUUUGUUGCAAUUGCCUUUGGGGACUUAGCCAAAAGUUCUUUGCCAAGGCUGAUGUUGAUAAGGGUAUUUCCUAGGUUUUCUUCUAGGAUUUUUACAGUUUGAGGUCUUACAUUUAAAUCUUUAAUCCAUCUUGAGUUAAUUUUCAUAUACGGUGAAAGGUGGGGGGUCCAGUUUCAUUCUUCUGCAUAGGGCUAGCCAGUUAUCCCAACACCAUUUAUUGAAUACGGAUAAAAUCCAACAUCCCUCAUGAUAAAACCCCUCAACAGACUAGGUAUCAAAGGAACAUAUCUCAAAAUAAUAAGAGCCAUCUACAACCAACCCACAGACAUCAUACUGGAUGAGCAAAAGCUGGAACUAUUCCUUCUGAGAACUGGAAUAAGAAGAGGAUGCCCAGUCUCAUCGCUCCCAUUCAACUUAGAGCAAUCAGGCAAGAGAAAUAAAUAAAAGGCAUCCAACUGGGAAAAGAAAUCAAACUAGCUCUCUUCGCUGAUAUGAUUUUAUACCUAGAAAACCCCGAAGACUCUGCCAAAAGCUCCUAGACUGAUAAACAACUUUAGUCAAGUUUCAGGAUACAAAAUCAAUGCACAAAAAUUAGGAGCAUUUCUAUACACCAAUAACGUUCAAGCUGAGAGCAAAUCAAGAACCCAAUACCAUUUACAAUAGCCAUAAAAAAACUGAAAUACUUAAAAAUACACCUAACCAAGGAGGUGAAAGAUCUCUACAAGGAGAACUACAAAACAUGGCAGAAAGAAAUCAGGGAUGAAACCAAAAAAUGGAAAAACAUUCCAUGUUCAUGGAUUGGAAGAAUCAAUAUAGUUUAAAAAUGGCCAUACUGCCCAAAGCAAUUUACAGAAUCAAUGCUGUCCUAUCAAACUACCAACCUCAUUUUUCACAGAGGUUGGAACAUUUUCACAGAAUUAGAAAACAACUAUUCUAAAAUUCAGAUGGAACCAAAGAAAGAGCCUGAAUAGCCAAAGCAACCCAAAGCAGAAAGAACAAAGCCAGCAGCAUCACACAGAUGUGGCUUCAAACUAUAAGACCACAGUAACCAAAACAGCACGGCACUGGUACAAUAACAGACACGUAGACCAAUGGAACACAAUAGAGAACACAGAAAUAAAGCUGCACACCUACAGCCAAUAGAUCUUCAGCAAAGCUGAUACAAGCAAGCAAUGGGGAAAGGAACACGUUGUUAAUGGGGGCUCACAAGCAGUAAUUAACUUCAACCAGGGGAUCACAAGACAUUAUCUUCAAAGACAACUUCAUUAGGAAUGUGGAGGUAAUUUUUUGUCAAAUGAUUAUUAAUUUGAACUCUUUUGGAUCCAAGAGACAGAGACCCACCUCAGAAUAGUGUAAGCAAAUAAAAGUACAACUGAUCUGGAGGUGAUACUUGCUUCAGUUCUCCAGGAACUCUUGGCUCAUUUCUUGUGUAUGCUUCCUUUUCAUGGCAGAUGCACAUAAUCCAUGUCACAGGAAAGGGUGGAGUUUUGCCAUGGAUGGCUCCAUCCUCAUAUCACCCCAUGUGCCACUGGAUUGUGUUUAACAGCCAUAGAAGGCUACCUGCAUUUCAGGGCCAGCAAAUAAAAUCCUAUGGAAGGCUUCUGCCCUAUCUAGUUAGGGUUCUGUGCCUAUUUCUUGUCUAAUCAUUGUGGCUUAUGGGGUGGGAAAUAAGGUCUGACCUGAGUCAUGUACUCAUCUCUUGACCAUGGUACAGACAGUGCUGAUUGAGCUGCUGGUGCUUACAGGGACUCACACAAAGCAGAAAAUAAUUUUAACAAGGAGCAGGAAAGGAUUCAAGACAUGGAAUUGGCUAGGAGAGGAUCCAAAAGGAGGGGAAACAGGAUGCUGGGCAGACAAAAACAGGUAGCCAGUACAAUAACUAAAAUGCAAGCAUUUAAAGGCAAAUGGAAUGUAGUUUGCUGUAACAAAAAUAUAGUUUGAUUGUUGAAGGUAGGCAGUGGAGAAGCAGGCAGGAGAGUCAGGUUGGGCAGGCUGUGGGGAGCCUUGAGUGACAGAUGGCAUCAUCAAAGGGCUUUGGUUGUCAUCAGACCUAUGUGUCCCUAUCCCCUUUCUCAUAAACAAUGCCUCUGAAAUGUCUAAGCUGUCAGACUGUCAUGACCAUGCACCAAUCUCUUUCCUUUCACACAUUUACCUUUUCUUUCCCCUCACAGUCCAUACGUACACUGUCCCAUCUCAAUUCUACAUGUAGUCCUUAUAGCCUGGCCACGUAUUUCUCAUCUAAGGUCAGCACCACCUCACGGAAUUGCACUGAAAUUCCUAGACUGUUAAAAAAACAAACACCUAAAACUCGACUUUUAAAGUCACUUUGGUAGCAAAGGUGGGGGAAUGGGAAGGUGAGUGGAAAGGUAGUAGGAGUAGGUUUCUAUCUGGCACGGGUUCUUGGAGUUAGCCUGAAGACCUCAGAGCUAUGGUCACUGACUGAACCCUGGACUGAGAAAUUGUGAAUGAACCAUAAUCAGAAUAUGCCUGUCUUUUCUAAUAUAUAAGUGUACUUUAUCCUCUGAUGUUCUAGAGGGAGUUGUGGCCACUAGCCUUCCUAGUAGAACGGAAUGUGGCAGCCACAGCUGAUGCAUAGGGAGAUCUUUCAAUUUUCAUAAACUUUUUGGAAGAGUUACCACAAACUGUAUGAUGAGGAUUAUUUUCUCCAGAAUGCUUAGAACAGCCUAGUCUGAGGUUGCUCACUGUAGGGCACAACUACUUGUUUCGGGUGAGCAAGAUAACAAACGGAUCAAUUCAGCUAGAGAAACACAGUAUAAUGCAGGAGAAAACAUUUACCUCUCACUUCUUUGAAAUUAUUAAAUGUGCAUGCACCAGUUCCAGCUGAGAAAAUCAGAACUGGACAAUGCCAGAAUAAAAGUUUAAAGUUUCUGUCAUCCAAACUGAUCACUGCAGAGAGAAAACAGAAAUAAUGCAUGCUUCAGUAAAACUGAAGAUUCUGAGAAAACUAACCUGCUUUGGCUAUUGAAAAUAAGAGGUAACAAAGGAAAAGAAAAAGCCUGCCUUCAAAGAGUUGUGAUUGCAGUCAUUGACAACAUUUAGUAGUGUUAGAGAGAGUGAACAUAAGAAGUCAUAGGAGCUGAAAGAAAGGAAACAAGGGUCUCAGGAGAGUUAUGGUGCCAGCUGCUUCUGAGAAAUGUCCCUAUGAGCAAAAAUUCUCCAUCUUCUUACUGGCAAAGUUGGGAUUAUGGCAGCCUUAGAACCAGAAAAUGGUUAUAAUUUUUUGUCAUGAAGCUCAAAGGGAAACAAAAAGUUUGAGAGAUCAAGCAGGGACCGCAGUGGGUGUGGGUACAGUCAAGGGAAGGUAUGAGUGACGCUCCUAGAUAUUCAAUGUCUUCCAGGAGAAAGCAGUAAAGGUCAAGUGUUAACAUACUUGUUUUUCAUCUUACUCCAACAGAAGACCAGAUGUAAUCUUCCUAAAGAAUAUUCCCCAACAUAUCCUGACAACUGUUGGGUGGGGAGGAAGCAAGUUGUACCAUGUUACAUAUAAAUGAAAAACCAUAAGGUAGCAGACAAUACUAAGCAUGCACCCGCCCUUAUACAAACACAAAGGCAGAGGAAAAGUUCACCCUAACAAUCUGCCAAUGGACUAUUUUUGGGGAAUGCACAUACAUACACACACACACCAAAAAACAAAACAAAACACAAUAGUAAAAACUCUUCUCAUAGUCUCCAAAAAGGAUAGUACUUAAAUUUUAAAUUUCUGAGUUAACCUAUGUUGGAACAGUUUUGGAGGUGACCUAUUUGUCAUGAAUUGAUAAAAGGCCCACAUAAACACUAUGGAAAGGAAUGUUAAACAUUAGUUAACACUGUGCAACUUGUUUCCUUAAGUUUGCAUUUGUCACCAGAAUAGAAAACUAACAAAAUAUUUCCUGGAUAUCUUAUUUUUUUCUUGAUUUUCUUUUUGUUGUUUUGUAUUUCUUCUUCUUUUUCCUGGGUAUUUUGAAUCUGAGGCAUAAACGGAAGUCUGUCCAGACCUGAUAGGGUACUCUUAUGAGAGUCUGGAAGAAAGAAGGGACCAACUGCUAACUCAAGCCUACGGCCAUGUGUCAGAUUAAAGCUUGCUGAUGCUUUAAUCUGAGCUUAAAGCAUCAGAUUACAGAGGUGUAUGUGUGGAGGGGAGGUUGGGGGACAAAAACAAAGAGAGGCAGUUUCUGCCCUUUAGGAGUAGUUUCCUAUCGAUUAGGGGAAACAGUCUGGUAUAAGACAUGGUUGGGAAUCAGGGGACUAGGUUCUAAUUCUGACUGUCAUUCAUUGGCCAUGUGAUUGUAUAGGGUGGAAUCGGUCACUUACAAAAUGAAGGAAUCACAUGAGGAGGUGAAACUGUAAAACGAAGGAAUUAAAUGUGAUAGCAUUUCUCUAGGUAAAUGCCAAAUUAAAAAAUAUGGUUAAAUAAAUUUGGAGGCCCCCACGCAGCACCAGAUAGAUUCACAGAGCAUUUAGUGUAGCAAAGGCUCUCAAAGCCCUGCUGUAAGGGAGAUUUUUGAAUUUGUCAAUUCCUAAACUUAGUUUCUGACAUGACACCUGUUAAUAUUUGCAGAAUAUUAUUGAGAAAAGAAUGGUCUCUAUGCCCCUUCCAGCUUUAAAAUUCCAUCAUUAAUAUUUUUUUACUUUACCACUUCCCUCAGUUGUCACUGUAUUUAGUUUUUCAUGGAGUUUGCUGCCUUUCACUUCACUUUUCAUGACCUUUACUGCUAUUUAAAUGCUGACAUGAUACUGUAACAGGGUUGGAUUAAAUGAUCUCUAAAAAUCUGUACAGACCCGGAAAUUUUACAGUUCUUUGAAAACUAUCACAAGCAUCUACUGAAGACUGAAAGAGAAAGCAUAUAACCCAGGCUGUCACCAACUUAGCACUAACAUUUACUAAAUGAGACCUUUGAGAUUCUUAUGUUUUAAGUUCAGCCAGAGUACCAUCAGAUUCCUGGCAGAGGCUUGAGGCACAGGAAUGACAGCGGAAUACAGAUAAGGGAUAGAAAACUUUAGAAUAGCUACAGAGGUCAACUAACCCAAACAUAGUUUAGCAAAACUUAGUUUCUUUUUCUAGUAUAUGAUUGCUACGUUCUUUUUUGCUCUGCCUUGAUCUUUAAUAUUUUACGUGUUUUUAGAAGAGCAAUUUUAAUACAUACACUCAAAUUAGUUUUCUCGAUUGUCCACAUGCCUUACUCAUUAAUUAGCUGAGAAGAUAGAAAUACCAAUCUAAUGGAUCAAAAAGAAAUUUGUCUUCUACUACAGACUUUACAGGAAAAUCUUUUGGCUUGAUCUGACUCCACUGGAAGGGGCUCAUGUACUAUCACUGGAAUGAACAGAGGCACUAGCUGUGAUACGGUACUGACAAUUUCUUUUCCUUUUGUCUACUGUCUAGGUGAUGCAAAGCUGGAAUAUGGUGUGUUAAAUUUUCUGCAGACUAGGAUGCUUCAGCUCCCAAUGAGAAAACAGAGAAAAAAGAGACUAAGGAUGAAUGUUUACAUGUCUGAGGCCUUUAGCGUGAGUAUUCAGCAUGAAGCAUGUUCAGUGUGAGUACUUCAAAAGAUAACAGAUGCCGUUUAACAGAAAGAAGUAAAACUGUCCAGCUCUGUCACCCAAGGUGGAGUGCAGUGGUGCAAUCUUGGCUCACUGAAGCCUUGACCUCCCGGAAUCAUGCAGUCCUACCGACCUCAGCCUCCUGAGUAGCUGGGACCACAGGCGUCUGCCAACACACCCAGCUAAUCUUUGCAUUUUUUGUAGAGUCUGGGUUUCACCAUGUUGUCCAGGUUGGUUUUCAACUCUUGGGCUCAAGUAAUCUUCCCUGCUUGGCCUCCCAAAGUGCUGGGAUUACAGGCAUGAGCUGCCACACCUGGCCAAAAUCCAGUAUAUUUUUAAAUUAUGUCCUAAAACACAGAAACACUGGAUUAUAAACAAGAUUACUGUUGAAAAGAAAGUAUGAACUAACAUAAGGCCUUAGCAAGACUAAUUUUAAAGUAAAAAUAAAGCAAGAUUUAAUCUAAGUCUUAUUCUAACGGUUAAUAAUUCUUGGGAAGCUAACUAAAGUUCAGUGAUCUAAUCAGUACUUGGGAGAAUCAUCAUAGCAUGUACACAAAAUAGAGAAUAAAAUUUUAAUGGUAUCAAAAACAAAACUUUUUUUGG
rnacentral:lncRNA from 1 species